rnacentral:misc_RNA from 1 species
UUCUGCCACCUUAUUCAAUAAGGGUCUUGAAGUUAUCGAAGCUCACUACCUUUUCGGAGCUGAGUAUGACAACAUUGAAAUUGUCAUCCAUCCCCAAUCCAUCAUACAUUCGAUGGUGGAAACACAGGAUUCAUCAGUAUUGGCACAGCUAGGGUGGCCUGAUAUGCGUUUGCCCAUCCUUUAUACUUUAUCCUGGCCCGACAGAGUUUACUGUUCGGAGAUUACUUGGCCUCGGCUUGAUCUUUGCAAG